UACGUAGGUGGCAAGCGUUGUCCGGAUUUACUGGCGUAAAGGGAGCGUAGGCGGACUUUUAAGUGAGAUGUGAAAUACUCGGGCUCAACUUGAGUGCUGCAUUUCAAACUGGAAGUCUAGAGUGCAGGAGAGGAGAAUGGAAUUCCUAGUGUAGCGGUGAAAUGCGUAGAGAUUAGGAAGAACACCAGUGGCGAAGGCGAUUCUCUGGACUGUAACUGACGCUGAGGCUCGAAAGCGUGGGGAGCAAACAGG
rnacentral:rRNA from 1 species